rnacentral:rRNA from 1 species
GUGUCAGCAGCCGCGGUAAUACGAAGGGUGCGAGCGUUAAUCGGAAUUACUGGGCGUAAAGAGCACGUAGGCGGUUUGAUAAGCGGAAUGUGAAAGCCCCGGGCUUAACCUGGGAACUGCAUUCCGAACUGUCAGGCUAGAGUAUGAUAGAGGUGAGCGGAAUUUCCUGUGUAGCGGUGAAAUGCGUAGAUAUAGGAAGGAACAUCAGUUGCGAAGGCGGCUCACUGGAUCAAUACUGACGCUGAGGUGCGAAAGCGUGGGUAGCGAACAGGAUUAGAAACCCGCGUAGUCC